rnacentral:rRNA from 1 species
AGUGAACGCUGGCGGUAGGCCUAACACAUGCCAGUCGAACGGCAGCACAGUAAGAGCUUGCUCUUACGGGUGGCGAGUGGCGGACGAGUGAGGAAUACAUCGGAAUCUACUUUUUCGUGGGGGAUAACGUAGGGAAACUUACGCUAAUACCGCAUACGACCUACGGGUGAAAGCAGGGGAUCUUCGGACCUUGCGCGAUUGAAUGAGCCGAUGUCGGAUUAGCUAGUUGGCGGGGUAAAGGCCCACCAAGGCGACGAUCCGUAGCUGGUGUGAGAGGAUGAUCAGCCACACUGGAACUGAGACACGGUCCAGACUCCUACGGGAGGCAGCAGUGGGGAAUAUUGGACAAUGGGGGCAAGCCUGAUCCAGCCAUACCGCGUGGGUGAAGAAGGCCUUCGGGUUGUAAAGACCUUUUGUUGGGAAAGAAAAGCAGCAGGUUAAUACCCCGCUGUUCUGACGGUACCCAAAGAAUAAGCACCGGCUAACUUCGUG